CUCUAGAGCCUAAAGGAAGCUCUAUCACUGAAAGAAUUCUUGUGAAUGAGAAAUGAGAAUCCUGAGAAGUAAUUUGCGACAAAGAAUUUUGUCAUCAGGAGCUGUGAAGACAACCAAUCUACCACACUGAAGUGCAGAAGUUCUUCCCAUGUUCAUUUUCACUUGAGCUUGAAGCAAACGCCCUGCACCUGCAGAAGAUAAGAUACACUCCCCAGCUGACUCAGGCGCUCCCCUUUGCCUGAGUUGUGCUAUCUCCCAAGGACAUCCUGUUUUCAGGCAGCUACCCAGCUGGCUGGUGCAACCCUGACCCAGUCCAUAUAUAAGAGAACAUAAACACUCCCUCGGUGCUGAUGAUGGGGAAUAGAAGACAUUGGGGGGCUAGCAAUCUGAAUCUGUGCCAGUAACCUAAUGUACAUUCUUGAUCGCCUACGUUAAGUCACUGUCCCUUUCUUCACAAUCUGGUCUAGCAAGACCUGUUUUCCUAAUUACUCACAAUUUACAAAGGGGCCAUAAACAAAGAAUGUAACAGCUUAGCUCCAGGGGAGGUCACUGACACCACCCAGACCAGGCAUUUAGAUACAGUCAAACUUCCCCAUCUAACUGACCCAGGAGGGGCUGUGGAAGCCCACCACAAAAGCCUGGUAGUUAGGAAACAGAUAGAAAACAAACAAACUGAAGGGUAUAAAAGGAAAGCUUCCUCCAUAUUCACUCACUCAGGAUUUGGAGAACUGACCCCCUGAGUUACUAUUCUAGUACAUCUGAAAAUAAAUGGGUUUAUCCUGGAUCUCCGAGUACUCCCAGUGUAUUUUUCGGUCGCCUGGUAAAUUCUGUAACACUGACACUGACACAAUAGUCUCAGCCCGCUGUGAGAGAAUAUAAUAAAAUUUCUUAAACUCUCAUGCCUCUUGGCCUGGCUCCUGUUGGCAUGUACCUAUCACAUAUCACUAGAAAAUCUGAAGAACAGAUAACCUUUGUGUAUAAAGAAGACCUACAGUUCUGCUUUGAGAUUAGAAUCUAGGAGAAGAAAGAGUUUACUUGGCUUUCCUUCAAGAGAGAGAGAGAGAGAGA